CUCAAUUGCACGGCGAGUGCGCUCGUAGUUUGACGGAGAAUAUGAUUUAGUACAGUACUUUUUACAGAAAGAUCGUGUGUAAUGAAUUUACAGGCUUAAUACGGGAAGUAAACUACCGAGUCACCCCGGAAUCAUUUUGCCGGCCAUUCCAUGUCCUGUCAAGUAUUGCCGGAGCCAAUUUGGGCUCGAAUUUUUUCGUAUUUGGAUAUAUUUGAUAUUUCAGCUUGUGCGGUCGUGUCCAAAAGAUGGAACGAAACUUGUGAUUCGCUGGCUGUGCAGAGAACCGUCAUCGUGGACCUGCAGAAAUGGGCAAAACAUUAUAAUCUCGAGGACCCUGAAAUAUCGAAAAACGGCGCCCGUGCUGUAGGGUUGUUGGAGAAGCGACUGACGCACGCGACUAAGAGGUUAAUUCUGCGUUGGCCAACGAAUCACAUUCAACCAAAACCUGUAAUGGUCCUCCCCGUUACUGUAACAACUGAAACCGUGUACGAGCACUGCAUUUAUGACGAUCCAGUAGUAAAUGCGGCGCGAUGCCAUCUGGACUGUAUAAUUCGUCAUGUCUCGGAUAUUUUGAGGGAAAGCGAUGCAUCUUUACCAAAAGUUGCAUUGGAAGAAUUGACCCUGCAAAAUAUCACCUUGUACGCCAAUAUGCUAUGGUUGGACAUGCCGCGAUUAACCGCAGUCCACUUGGAACAUGUACAAUUAUACUGCCAUUUCGCUCCACUUUGGCCCGCGGAGCCUUUGCCGUUGGUUCUUGGUGUGAGAGUUCCGAAACAAACCAUCAGCAAAAACAACCUGUACUGAAUUAAAGAAUUAAUAUGAUUAGUUGUGAGAUAGGUGUUAAUUAAAGAAAGUUACCCAAUCCAGUAGUGCCUGUAUUUGCGAUGGUAUUCCGUUGGCUGAUCCAAACGCAUCUUUCCCUCAAUAGUGCGUAACUCAGAUUCGGACAAUGGGCCCGGAAUCAAAAGGUUAAACAAAUCGAUAGCUGGAUCGAUUCUGAUAGCGUUUGCUGUGUGGAACGGUUCAGUCGACGGUGUCUGUGGGCGUUCACCACACCCAAGCAUCCACUUAAUUCAUGUUGGUUUUUCACAAGCACAUUUUUAUUCGGAAGCAGCCAGUAGCCAUAGUAGCACGCCGGCGCGGAUGUAACGCUCUAUUUCGGUGUCUCAAAAAACUCCGAAUUAUUCUCCUCGCUAUUCGAUCGAAAGGGAUUUUAUGAGGCAGGAAUUACGUUCGGGAAGAUCGAACGCUCUCCACUUUGGCUGCAGUAUAUCGCUCGAGAGCUCCUGGCGACCUAUCCAGACGAAGGCGCGCUGUCUGGCGCUCAAGACGAUGCUCGUGUCAGUGCAGUCGAAAGAAUAACGGAGCCGUUUUUGUUAGAGGAGAGCACAUAUUGGGACGGUAUUGGUUAUACCGUGACACGCCGAAAUUUAACCGCAACAAUUUAAGGCAAUCAGAAGCUGCAGGAAAAACCUGGCUACCAUUGAUUCGCAACUUUGGCCUCGAUCGUGUAUUCUCUCCAUUCAUUUCAGAAUGGAAUCAAGAGGAUUGGUCAUAGCCGGCAGUAAAAGGCCAGACGUUGUUAUGCUUAUCCCAUGAGAGCGUGGAAAGCCAUUCGCAAUUGACGUGACGCGUGUGGACACUCUGGCAGAUUUAUAUAUUGACCGUAACAUCCGUCAACGGCGGUGCCGCAUCCUAGAUGGCCGAAACAAAGAAACUCGCAAAACAUGCGUGGCUGCAGUCAAGGUAUAUGCCAGCGGCCUUCGAAAUGUGCGGACCUUUGGGCGGCAGAGCUAAAAAGCCAGUCCUUAAAUUCGGACACCUCAUCGCGGCCGCUACCGGGCAACCACGCGCGAAAGAAUUUUUCCGGCAAAGGAUUUCCAUACAGAUUCAAAGAGGAAAUGCCAUGAGCGUGAUGGGCACAAUACCCCAUCAUGACAAUUUAGAGGAAAUAUUCUUUUUAUAACCUCCUAAAACUGCGUUUUUGUUAUAGUGUUUACUGUUUAGCAUCCAUGGCGUGUACCCAUUCUUACUGAUGCGUCUAUCAGUUCUGGUAUAACUCUGGUAUGUACAGGAGA